rnacentral:misc_RNA from 1 species
GAUGAAGAACGUAGCGAAAUGCGAUAAGUAAUGUGAAUUGCAGAAUUCAGUGAAUCAUCGAAUCUUCGAACGCACAUUGCGCCCGCCAGUAUUCUGGCGGGCAUGCCUGUUCGAGCGUCAUUACAACCCUCAGGCCCCCGGGCCUGGCGUUGGGGAUCGGCGGAAGCCCCCUGCGGGCACAACGCCGUCCCCCAAAUACAGUGGCGGUCCCGCCGCAGCUUCCAUUGCGUAGUAGCUAACACCUCGCAACUGGAGAGCGGCGCGGCCACGCCGUAAAACACCCAACUUCUGAAUGUUGACCUCGAAUCAGGUAGGAAUACCCGCUGAACUUAAGCAUAUCAAUAAGCGGAGGA